AAAGGUUUGGUCCUAGCCCUUCUAUUAGCCAUCAGUAGGAUUACACAUGCAAGUAUCAGCACCCCGGUGAAAACGCCCUUUUAAUCAUCAGUGAUAAAAAGGAGCGGGUAUCAAGCACACCGUACAAGUAGCUAAAGACACCUCGCCUAGCCACACCCCCACGGGAUACAGCAGUGACAAAAAUUAAGCCAUGAACGAAAGUUUGACUAAGCCAUACUGAUCCAUUAGGGUUGGUAAAUUUCGUGCCAGCCACCGCGGUCAUACGAUUAACCCAAGUUAAUAGAUAAACGGCGUAAAACGUGUUAAGGAAACCAUCCACCCAAUAAAGUUAAAUCUUAGACUAUGCUGUAGAAAGCUUUAGCCCAGAUAAAAAUAAACCACGAAGGUGACUUUAAAUAAUCCGAUCACACGAUAGCUAAGACACAAACUGGGAUUAGAUACCCCACUAUGCUUAGCCCUAAACCUAAGUAGCCUAAACAACGAUGCUACUCGCCAGAGUACUACUAGCAACAGCUUAAAACUCAAAGGACUUGGCGGUGCUUUACAUCCCUCUAGAGGAGCCUGUUCUGUAAUCGAUAAACCCCGAUAAACCUCACCAACUCUUGCUAAUACAGCCUAUAUACCGCCAUCUUCAGCAAACCCUAAAAAGGAAACAAAGUAAGCAAAACCAUAAAACAUAAAAACGUUAGGUCAAGGUGUAGCCUAUGAGUUGGAAAGAAAUGGGCUACAUUUUCUAGCAUAGAAUAUCAACGAAAAUUUUCGUGAAACCGAAAAUAGAAGGAGGAUUUAGUAGUAAAUUAAGAAUAGAGAGCUUAAUUGAAUAAGGCCAUGAAGCACGCACACACCGCCCGUCACCCUCCUCAAGUAUAAAGAUACAAAUACUCAACCCUAUUAAUAAAUGUACACGCAUAUGAGAGGAGAUAAGUCGUAACAAGGUAAGCGUACUGGAAAGUGCGCUUG
rnacentral:ncRNA from 1 species